rnacentral:rRNA from 1 species
AGCAUAUCAAUAAGCGGAGGAAAAGAAACCAACAGGGAUUGCCCCAGUAACGGCGAGUGAAGCGGCAACAGCUCAAAUUUGAAAUCUGGCCCCAGGCCCGAGUUGUAAUUUGCAGAGGAUGCUUUUGGCGCGGUGCCUUCCGAGUUCCCUGGAACGGGACGCCAUAGAGGGUGAGAGCCCCGUACGGUUGGACACCAAGCCUUUGUAAAGCUCCUUCGACGAGUCGAGUAGUUUGGGAAUGCUGCUCUAAAUGGGAGGUACAUUUCUUCUAAAGCUAAAUAUUGGCCAGAGACCGAUAGCGCACAAGUAGAGUGAUCGAAAGAUGAAAAGCACUUUGAAAAGAGGGUUAAACAGCACGUGAAAUUGUUAAAAGGGAAGCGCUUGUGACCAGACUUGCGUCCGGUGAAUCACCCAGCUCUCGCGGCUGGGGCACUUCGCCGGCACAGGCCAGCAUCAGCUUGCCGUCGGGGACAAAAGCUUCAGGAACGUGGCUCCUCUCGGGGAGUGUUAUAGCCUGUUGCAUAAUACCCUUCGGCGGGCUGAGGUACGCGCUCCGCAAGGAUGCUGGCGUAAUGGUCAUCAGCGACCCGUCUUGAAAAACACGGA